CAGCCGCCACGGUAAUACGGAGGGUGCAAGCGUUACUCGGAAUCACUGGGCGUAAAGGACGCGUAGGCGGAUUAUCAAGUCUCUUGUGCAAUCUAACGGCUUAACCGUUAAACUGCUUGGGAAACUGAUAAUCUAGAGUAAGGGAGAGGCAGAUGGAAUUCUUGGUGUAGGGGUAAAAUCCGUAGAUAUCAAGAAGAAUACCUAUUGCGAAGGCGAUCUGCUGGAACUUAACUGACGCUAAUGCGUGAAAGCGUGGGGAGCAAACAGGAUUAGAGACCCCGGUAGUCCCUGUCUCUUAUAC
rnacentral:rRNA from 1 species